rnacentral:rRNA from 1 species
UACGAGGGGGGCAAGCGUUGUUCGGAAUUAUUGGGCGUAAAGGGCGCGUAGGCGGUGCGGUAAGUCACCUGUGAAAACUCUGGGCUCAACUCAGAGCCUGCAGGCGAAACUGCCGUGCUUGAGUGUGGGAGAGGUGCGUGGAAUUCCCGGUGUAGCGGUGAAAUGCGUAGAUAUCUGGAGGAACACCGGUGGCGAAGGCGGUUCUCUGGGCCUUACCUGACGCUGAGGAGCGAAAGCGUGGGGAGCGAACAGG